GACAGAGGCCUCGAGCGUUAGGCGGAAUCACUGGGCGUAAAGGGCGCGUAGGCGGCCUGAUAAGUAGGGGGUGAAAUCUUGCGGCUUAACCGCAAGGCUGCCUUCUAAACUGUCAGGCUAGAGCACAGUAGAGGCAGGUGGAAUUCCCGGUGUAGCGGUGGAAUGCGUAGAGAUCGGGAAGAACAUCAGUGGCGAAGGCGGCCUGCUGGGCUGUUGCUGACGCUGAGGCGCGACAGCGUGGGGAGCAAACAGG
rnacentral:rRNA from 1 species